rnacentral:rRNA from 1 species
GACGAACGCUGGCGGCGUGCCUAACACAUGCAAGUCGAACGGAAAGGCCCUGCUCUUGCGGGUUUCACGUUUGGCGAACGGGUGUGUAACACGCGUGUAACACCUCCCUGACUUUGGGGUAACUUCAGGAAACUGGGGCUAUAAUCCGAUAUGAGCUCCUGCUGCAGGGUGGGGGUUGGAAAGUUUCGGCGGUUGGGGAUGGACUCGCGGCGCAUCAGCUUGUUGGUGGGGUAGUGGCUUACCAAGGCUAUGCCGGGUAGCCGACCUGGGAGGGGGACCGGCCACGUCAGGACUGAGAUACGACCCAGACUCCAACGGGACGCAACGGUGGGGAGUAUUACACAGUGGGCGGGAGCCUGAUGCGACGACGCCGCGUGCGGGAUAACGGGCUUCGGGUUGUAAACCGCUUUCGCCUGUGACGAGGCGUGAGUGACGGUAAUGGAUAAGAAAGCACCGGAUAACUACGUG